GCAUAUCAAUAAGCGGAGGAAAAGAAACUAACAAGGAUUCCCCUAGUAACGGCGAGUGAAGCGGGAAGAGCACAAAUUUAAAAUCUACCUGGUUUCCAGGUCGAGUUGUAAUUUGAGGAAACGUUUUUGACAUUCCGGGUUGGGAUAAAUCCUUUGGGAUAAGGUAUCAUGGAGGGUGAGAAUCCCGUGUAUACCAACCGCAGGGAUGUUAUUUAAUACGUUUUCUAAGAGUCGAGUUGUUUGGGAAUGCAGCUCUAAAUGGGUGGUAAAUUUCACCUAAUGCUAAAUAUAAGCGAGAGACCGAUAGCGAACAAGUACCGUGAGGGAAAGAUGAAAAGAACUUUGAAAAGAGAGUUAAAUAGUACGUGAAAUUGUUGAAAGGGAAACGAUUGAAGUCAGUCAUGCCGGCGGGAAUCAACUUAGAGGAAACUCUAAGUGCACUUCACGUUUGGCAGGUCAGCGUCGAUUUUGGAUGUCAUAAAAUGAUUGGGGGAAGGUAGCUCCUUCGGGAGUGUUAUAGCCCUUGAUAGAUGUGAUGUCUGGGAUCGAGGAUUGCAACGGAUACCCUUUGGGCUAGCCGCCUGAUCUCUAACUGGUGUUGGGUUAUGGACAGCAUGCUGACUGUGAUUUAAUUACUGGUUAAAAGGUUAGAGCGAGUGUAAAUUCGUUAAGGACGCUGACGUAAUGGCUUUAAACGAC
rnacentral:rRNA from 1 species